AUUGAACGCUGGCGGCAGGCCUAACACAUGCAAGUCGAGCGGAGCGGCGGACGGGGGAGUAAUGACUAGGAAUCUGCCUGGGAGUAGGGGAUAACGCCCGGAAACGGGCGCCAUUACCGCAUACUAUCAGAUGAGCCUCGGUCGGAUGAGCUAGUUGGUGGGGUAAAGGCCUACCAAGGCGACGAUCCGUAACUGAUCUGAGAGGAUGAUCAGUCACACUGGAACUGAGACACGGUCCAGACUCCUACGGGAGGCAGCAGUGGGGAAUCUUGGACAAUGGGCGAAAGCCUGAUCGAGCCAUGCCGCGUGUGUGAAGAAGGUCUUCGGAUUGUAAAGCACUGUAGUUUGGGAAGCGUUAUCUACAGAGUAAGCACCGGCUAACUUCGUGCCAGCAGCCGCGGUAAUUC
rnacentral:rRNA from 1 species